UCUAAGUGCUGUGAAGUCAGACCGGAAGGACUGGUGGAGCGCUUAGAAGUGAGAAUGCCGGUAUGAGUAGCGAAAGACGGGUGAGAAUCCCGUCCACCGAAUGCCUAAGGUUUCCUGAGGAAGGCUCGUCCGCUCAGGGUUAGUCGGGACCUAAGCCGAGGCCGAAAGGCGUAGGCGAUGGACAACAGGUUGAUAUUCCUGUACCACCUCCUCACCAUUUGAGCAAUGGGGGGACGCAGGAGGAUAGGGUAAGCGCGGUAUUGGAUAUCCGCGUCCAAGCAGUUAGGCUGGGAAAUAGGCAAAUCCGUUUCCCGUGAAGGCUGAGCUGUGAUGGCGAGCGAAAUUUAGUAGCGAAGUUCCUGAUUCCACACUGCCAAGAAAAGCCUCUAGCGAGGUGAGAGGUGCCCGUACCGCAAACCGACACAGGUAGGCGAGGAGAGAAUCCUAAGGUGAUCGAGAGAACUCUCGUUAAGGAACUCGGCAAAAUGACCCCGUAACUUCGGGAGAAGGGGUGCUUCUUAGGGUGUUAAAGCCCCGAGAAGCCGCAGUGAAUAGGCCCAGGCGACUGUUUAGCAAAAACACAGGUCUCUGCGAAGCCGUAAG
rnacentral:rRNA from 1 species